CCCGGGCCUUGUACACACCGCCCGUCACGUCAUGAAAGUCGGCAACACCCGAAGCCAGUGGCCCAACCGUUUACGGAGGGAGUUGUCGAAGGUGGGGCUGGCGAUUGGGACG
rnacentral:rRNA from 1 species